ensembl:snRNA U6 U6 spliceosomal RNA
AUGCUCCCUAUGGCAGCACAUAUAUUGAAACUGGAAUGAUACAGAGAUUAACAUGGUCCCUGCACAAGGAUGCCAUGCAAAUUCAUGAAGCAUUCCUAGUUACA